AGCCUGCCCAGUGAAUUUUAAACGGCCGCGGUAUCCUAACCGCGCGAAGGUAGCAUAAUCACUUGUUCUUUAAAUGGGGACUCGUAUCAACGGCAUCACGAGGGUUUUACUGUCUCCUCUUUUUGAUCAGUGAAAUUGAUCUUCCCGUGAAGAAGCGGGAAUAUUUUUAUAAGACGAGAAGACCCCAUGGAGCUUUAAACCAAAUAACAACUUAACUACUUAUCCCACAAUAAAUUUAAGCCCUGUUAUAAGGUUUUUGGUUGGGGUGACCGCGGAGUAAAGCACAUCCUCCACGACGGAAAGAACAUAAUCUUUAUUUAAGAACCACACUUCUAGAAAUUAGUAUACUAACGUUUACUGACCCGACAAUCGAUCAACGGACCAAGUUACCCUGGGGAUAACAGCGCAAUCUACUUCAAGAGCUCAUAUCGACAAGUAGGCUUACGACCUCCAUGUUGGAUCAGGGUAUCCCGGUGGUGCAGCCGCUACCGAAGGUUCGUUUGUUCAACGAUUAAAACCCUACGUGAUCUGA
rnacentral:rRNA from 1 species